CCCUGGUUAGCUCAAAUGGUAGAGCGCUCCACCUGUAAUGGAGAGGUCCCGGGUUGGAUACCCGGACCAGGCG
rnacentral:tRNA from 2 species